rnacentral:rRNA from 1 species
AUUGAACGCUGGCGGCAGGCCUAACACAUGCAAGUCGAGCGAGCGGUGGACGGGUGAGAAAAGUAUGGGGACUGCCCGAUAGAGGGGGGUAACAACUGGAAACGGUAGCUAAUACCGCAUACUAUCGGAUAACCCAUAUGGGUUCAGCCGGUAGGUGGGGUAAUGGCUCACAUAGGCGACGAUCCCUAGCUGGUCUGAGAGGAUGAUCAGCAAAGCUGGACCGGAGAAACGGCCCAAGCUCCACCGGAGGCGGAAGUGGGGAAUAUUGCACAUUGGCCAAAAGCCUGAGGCAGCCAGGCCGGGGAUAUAAAAAAGGCCCUAGGGUGGUAAAGUACGUUCAUUGGGGAGGCGUUACCGGCAGAAGAAGCACCGGCUAACUACGUGCCAGCAGCCGCGGUAAUUC